rnacentral:rRNA from 1 species
AUCCAGACUCCUACGGGAGGCAGCAGUGGGGGAUAUUGCACAAUGGGCGCAAGCCUGAUGCAGCGACGCCGCGUGAGCGAAGAAGUAUUUCGGUAUGUAAAGCUCUAUCAGCAGGGAAGAAAAUGACGGUACCUGACUAAGAAGCCCCGGCUAACUACGUGCCAGCAGCCGCGGUAAUACGUAGGGGGCAAGCGUUAUCCGGAUUUACUGGGUGUAAAGGGAGCGUAGACGGUUCUGCAAGCCAGAUGUGAAAGCCCGGGGCUCAACCCCGGGACUGCAUUUGGAACUGUAAGGCUAGAGUGUCGGAGAGGCAGGCGGAAUUCCUAGUGUAGCGGUGAAAUGCGUAGAUAUUAGGAGGAACACCGGUGGCGAAGGCGGCCUGCUGGACUGCAACUGACGUUGAGGCCCGAAAGCGUGGGGAGCAAACAGGAUUAGAUACCCUAGUA